AACGAACGCUGGCGGCAGGCUUAACACACGCAAGUCGAACGGUGUAGCAAUACACAGUGGCAGACGGGAGAGGAACACGUGGGAACAUCCCUUUCGGUUCGGAAUAACGUUGGGAAACUAACGCUAAUACCCGAUACGUCCUUCGGGAGAAAGAUUUAUUGCCGAGAGAUUGGCCCGCGUCUGAUUAGCUAGUUGGUGAGGUAACGGCUCACCAAGGCUACGAUCAGUAGCUGAUCUGAGAGGAUGAUCAGCCACAUUGGGACUGAGACACGGCCCAAACUCCUACGGGAGGCAGCAGUGGGGAAUAUUGGACAAUGGGCGCAAGCCUGAUCCAGCCAUGCCGCGUGAGUGAUGAAGGCCUUCGGGUUGUAAAGCUCUUUUAUCCGGGAAGAUAAUGACUGUACCGGAAGAAUAAGCCCCGGCAAACUUCGUGCCAGCCGCCGCCGUAAAAC
rnacentral:rRNA from 1 species